UACGUAGGGUGCAAGCGUUGUCCGGAAUUAUUGGGCGUAAAGAGCUCGUAGGCGGUCUGUUGCGUCGGCUGUGAAAACCCGGGGCUCAACUCCGGGCCUGCAGCCGAUACGGGCAGACUAGAGUUCGGCAGGGGAGACUGGAAUUCCUGGUGUAGCGGUGAAAUGCGCAGAUAUCAGGAGGAACACCGGUGGCGAAGGCGGGUCUCUGGGCCGAUACUGACGCUGGAGGUGCGAAAGCGUGGGGAGCAAACAGG
rnacentral:rRNA from 1 species